UCUCCAAACCCUAAACUUCAUCUUCGGCCUUUAUAACUGCCUCUCCGUGAUCAUUCACCUCUCUCGAACGGUUUUAUAAAUCUUCUUUUUCAUUGUCUAAUAUUACGUUUGUGCUAUCUGUUGUUUGGUCUUGUGCUUACUACCGUAGCAAAAAUUGCGUGGUUUUUUAAAAUUUUAUUUUCUGAUUUUGUUUGAAAAGAAUUCAAUUGGUUUUAUGGAUGUGAUUAACCUUGUGUCUAUGAUGAUUAAUUUUAAGGCUUGUUUCUCAAAAACAUUCGCAGUGGCCGCCUAAGAACUUUCGCCUUCGCCGGGCUUGAGAGUUUAUGCUGCUUCAAUCCUUCCCUGGAUGUCUGAGACACCUCCAUUAAUUUGAUGCUGUUCCCUGUGUAUUGGAAUAUGCUGACUGUAUAUACAGUUAGUCAAUACAAGAAGGAGAAGAUGGAUGAAAGGAGCAAGAAUGCAUAAUGUGGAUUGGACAAGAGAGCAAGGGAAAGCCAAACUCCUACUGCGAAGAGCAGCUGAUCUGAUAUCAUUAUCAUAAUAGCAGAAGAGGUGGCAGUCCAAGCAAUUCCAGCUAUGCUUCACUUACGAAGAUGGAUUAUAAAGUUUGUUGACAAAAUAACAUCCAUAACAAUCAUUUCAAAAACAGAUUUUUAAAUCAUUUCAAAUCAAUUAUCUGGAUUUUGUCAAUACACUUUGUGAUCCAAUUUUUUGUAACUCAACUUUGUGCAAGUUUUAUUGAAGCAAUUCAGCCCAAAUGUGGUGCCCACUUUCAAUCAUUUCGGAUUAUUUUCAACCAGUAAUAAAAUAUUUUACAUAUAAAUCUAAAUUUUUCUACUUUUUAAUCACGCAUUCUCUUAAAAAUACUCUUUAAAAUUUUAUUUGUUUUUUGAAAUAAUGGACACCAAAUAGGGGCUCAGUCAUUGUGCCGACCGAAGGUGCUAGAAACAGAAAGUCGGAGACAUGUUUCGAAGUGAUGGGGAGUUGAAAUUUGGGUGUAUUAAUCAAUUAUGUCCAUAAUUUACAUAUUUACAUCAUUUUCACGUCUGGAGGAAUAGUUGAGUUGUAGUACCAACUUCCCAUGGAAACACCAUAGUUGAAACCUUCAUGUAUUAUUCUAUCUUCGUUGAAAAAAAGAAAAAGAAAUAAAGGUUCAACUGCAAGCGAAUAUGUAACUUGAAUA